UUCGCAAUGCCCGAAAGGGUGACGAAGCGACGCCGCGUGCGGGAAGAAGGCCUUCGGGUUGUAAACCGCUGUCGGGAGUUAGGAAAUGCAAGGAUGUUAAUAGCGUCUUUGCUUGACUAAGGCUCCGGAGGAAGCCACGGCUAACUCUGUGCCAGCAGCCGCGGUAAUACAGAGGCGGCAAGCGUUGUUCGGAAUUAUUGGGCGUAAAGAGCACGUAGGCGGCCGUGUAAGUCGGUUGUGAAAGCCUUCCGCUCAACGGGAGAACGGCAUCCGAUACUACAUGGCUCGAGUGCGGGAGGGGAGAGUGGAACUUCUGGUGGAGCGGUGAAAUGCGUAGAUAUCAGAAGGAACACCGGCGGCGAAGGCGACUCUCUGGCCCGUAACUGACGCUGAGUGUGCGAAAGCUAGGGGAGCAAACGGGAUUAGAUACCCCGGUAGUCCUAGCCGUAAACGAUGGGCACUAAGUAGAGGGGUUUU
rnacentral:rRNA from 1 species